ensembl:lncRNA
GCCCUUCCCUAAAAUCACAAGGAAUUCACUCUGGUCAGAAGUUUCAAGCCUUUUCCCAAAGGUUAUUAGUCUACUACUACUACUACUAAGCUGCUUCAGUCGUGUCUGACUCUGUGCGACCCCAUAGACAGCAGCUCACCAGGCUCUGCCAUCCCUGGGAUUCUCCAGGCAAGAACACUGGAGUGGGUUGCUAUUUCCUUCUCCAAUGCAUGAAAGUGAAAAGUGAAAGUGAAGUCGCUCAUUCGUGUCCAACUCUUCUCGACCCCAUGGACUGCAGCCUACCAGGCUUCCCCGUACAUGGGAUUUUCCAGAUGCUGUGGGAGCCCUUCUAGGGAAGAAGAGCCAGAAACGUGCUUUGAAACAUGGGAAGGGAACCACCCAUUGCUCAAGAAGGUGUGUUGGUUCUCCUGGAAUCCCCAACCAGGCUCCUCUCAGAAGGAGCAAAAUGAUUAUUUACCUGCAUCUAUAUGGUUCUGAAGCUAUGAUACUUUGUAUUGGCCACCUGAUGCAAAGAGCUUGCUCAUUAGAAAAGACCCUGAUGCUGGGAAAGAUUGAAGGCAGGACGAGAAGGGGACGACAAAGGAUGAGAUGGUUGGAUGGCAUCACCAACUAGAUAGACAUGAACUUGAGCACACUCUGGGAGUUGGUAAUGGACAGGGAAGCCUGGAAUGCUGCAGUCCAUGAGGUCACAGAGUCAGACACGAAUGAAUGAAAGAACUGAACUGAUACGGUUUUGAAAAAACAGAUACUAAUUAUUAAUUCACUGGGGAAAAUUUGACAUCUCACAUUAACUUUUUUGGGUUUAAGAGUUAAAAACUGAUUUUCAAAAGGUUAACUUAUGAAAACCUCAGCCCAUACACACUUGCUCAGUUAGCCUUUGUAAGGUUCCGUCAGAUGGCACUAGGUCCACUGGCCAUCAGUGGAGGUAGGCGUGGAAGAAAGGAGUUUUGGACCUUGAAUGUAGGGAUCCAGAGGGCACUGAGCAGGUAGACUUUCAGAGAAGUGGACCAAAGCACCUGCUUCACCACCGUCUUAGCCCUGGAGGUAGACAACCCUCGCCCAAAUUCUCAGUGCUUCUGUUUCAUUCCACACUUCCCUGUUUAUUUAAUUUCACUGGCUUUUAGUCAGAAAUUGACUGUGUAAAAUAUUUGGCAUAGAAAGUAAAGUGAAACACUGAAAAUCCAAGGCAACAGGAUAUAAACAGUGAACACAAUAUCCUUGGCCAGUGACUUCUUGUUUCCUCUCCUUAGCAGUGCUGUGGAUUCUCAGCACACUCUGAGAGACCUGAGUGAGCCCUGCUUGUGGUCUGUGAACCUUAUAGGACUCACAGUCCUCUAUUUGCAGGAUCCUUGUUACCAAGGAAAUGGAAACUGGGCCAAAAAUAGAAAUGAUGCCCAUUUGCAAAAUCCUAAAGGAAACAUAGAAACUGGCAACAAUGGGCAAGCCACUCUUGUGGGUUCUUAUUUCUCAGAUAAACAUGCCUUAAUUUAAGAAUCACCCUUGUUAUAAUAUUAAUUCCUUCUAUUCAAUUUUCAAAUUUACAUAAACAUUACUUAAAACUGAUUAGGCAAGGCUUAGAAG